rnacentral:rRNA from 1 species
UACAGAGGUCCCGAGCGUUGUUCGGAUUUACUGGGCGUAAAGGGCGCGUAGGCGGCCUCCGCAAGUCGACUGUGAAAUCUCCGGGCUUAACCCGGAAAGGUCAGCCGAAACUGCGGGGCUAGAGUGCAGAAGGGGCAACUGGAAUUCUCGGUGUAGCGGUGAAAUGCGUAGAUAUCGAGAGGAACACCUGCGGCGAAGGCGGGUUGCUGGGCUGACACUGACGCUGAAGCGCGAAAGCUAGGGGAGCGAACGGG